rnacentral:rRNA from 1 species
CUCUCAGGCGGGAACACCCGUGAGUUUAAGCAUAUCAAUAAGCGGAGGGAAAGGAAACUUACCAGGAUUCCCCUAGUAACGGCGAGCGAACCGGGAGAAGCCCAGCUUUGAGGAAAUCGGGCGCCUCUCUGGCGUUCCGAAUUGUAUAGUCUUGGAAGAAGCGUCCUCAGCGGCGGACCGGGCCAAGUCCCCUUGGAAGGGGGCGCCGCGGAGGGGUGAAGAGGCCCCGUCGUGCCCGGACCCUGUCGCACCACGAGGCGGCUGUCUGCGAGUCGGGUUGUUUGUGGAAUGCAGCCCCAUCGGAGCGGUAAAACUUCUCCCGUCCGAAGGCUAAAUACGUGCCGAUGGAGACGCGAUAGCGAGAACAAAGUACCGCGAGGGAAAAGUAAAAGGGACUUUGAAAAGAGAGUCAAAAGAGGUGCUUUGAAAUUGGUCUGGAGGCUGGGGAGGGAAGCGGGAUGGGGGCCGGCGAUGCGCCCCGGUCGGAUGUGGAACGGCGACAAGCCGGUCGCCCGAUCGGCUCGGGGCGCGGCAUCGACGCGUGAUCGCGGCCGGCGGCCCAAGCCCGGGGCAACUAGAAACGCCCGCGGGAAGACGCCGUCGCAGCGAUCGGUGGACAUCACGCGCGCGCCGUCACGGCGUGCCCCGGCACGCGCGCGCUCCUGCGUCGGCCAGCGGGCUCCCCGAUUCGGCCCGUCUUGAACACGGACAAGGAGUCUGACAUUGUUGUGCGAGUCAACGGGCGUAGCUUUGUAAUACACGUAAGGGCGCAAGGAAGACUGACUGGCGGGAUCCCCUCGAGGGUUGCACCGGCCGACCGACUCGAUCUUUGAGAAGGGUUCGAGUGAGAGGAUGCCUGUCGGGACCCGAAGAUGUGGUGAACUAUGCCUGAGCGGGGCGAGCAGAGAAACUCGUGGGGGUGGGAGGCGCCGCACUGUACUGACGUGCAAUCGUGUCGUCUGACUUGGGUAUAGGGGCGAAAGGGACUAAUUCGAACCGUCUAGUAGGGUUUCCCUCCGAAUGUUUCCCUCAGGAUAGCUGGAGCUCGGGACGGUUUCUAUUCGGGUUAAGCCAAUGAUUAUGAGGCUAUCGGGGGCGCAACGCCCGCGACGCUUCUUCUCAAACUUUAAAUAGAGGACCAGCGCGGCUUGGCUUUCGUGGCGGCGCCACGGAAUCGAGAGCUCAAGUGGGCAUUUUUGUGUAAAGCAGAACUGCGCGAUGCGGUGGAACGGAAGCCGGGUUACGGUUGUCCCAACUGCGCGCUAACCAGAAACCCACAAAGGGGUGUUGCGUCGAUUAAGACAGCAGACGGUGGUCAUGGCAAGUCGAAAUCGCUAAGGAGUGUGUAAAACUUCACCUGGCCGAAUCAACUAGCCCGAAAUGGAUGCGCUAAGCGCGGCGACCUAUACCCGGCCGUCGCGGCAAGAGCAGGCCCGUAUGAGUAUGGAGGGCGCGGCGGCCGCUGCAAAAAACCCGGGGCCCAGCCGGGCGAGCGGCCGCCGGUUGCAGUCUUGUGGUAGUAGCAAAUAUUCGAAAUGAAACUCUUGAGGGCGGAAGAGGGGAAAGGUUCAUGUGAACGGGCACUUGCACACUGGGGGUUAAGUCGGAUCCUAAAGAGACGGGAAGCCCGUUCGCUGACAGCGCGUCCGCCGCGGCGUUCGAAAGGAAUCGGGUUAAAUUCCCCGCCGAACCGGGACGCGUACGGCGGCCUGCCGGCAACGUCUUAGGAGCUCCGGAGACGUCGGCGGGGCCUCGGGAAGAGUUAUCUUUUCUGUUUUAAGGGCCCGGAACGCCCCGGGAAACGACUCAGUCGGAGGUAUGGGUCCAGCGGCGCGGUAGAAGCACCGCACGGUCGCGGCGGUGUCCGGUGCGCCCCCGGCGGCCCGUGAAAAAUUCCGGGGACCGAGUGCCUCCCGCGCGCCGGUCGUACUCAUACCGCAUCAGGUCUUCCAAGGCGUGAACAGCCUCUGGGGCCAAUGGAACAAUGUAGGCAAGGAAGUCGGCCAAAACGGAGCCGUAACCUCGGAAAAGGAUUGGUUUGCAGGGCUGGGCCCGGGUAUGGUCCCGAGUUCCGAACCCGUCGGCUGUCGGCGGAUCUCGAGGUGCUCCCGCGGCCGCGAGGGGCGGGUCGCCGCGUGCCCGGCGGGGGACGAGCACUGGAACGGCCCUCCGGGCGGCCUGUCGCCUGGUGCGUCGAACACGUCGAGCUCAGAACUGGUACGGACAAGGGAAUCCGACGUUUAAUUUUAAAACAAAGCAUUGCGAUGGUCCCUGCGGGCAUGCUCACGCAAUUGAUUCCUGGCCAGUGCUCUGAACUGUUCCAAAGUGAAGAAAUUCAACCAAGCGGCGGCGUAAACGGCCGGGGGUAACUUAUGACUCUUUUAAGGUAGCCAAAUGCCUUCGUCAUCUAAUUAGUGAACGCGCAUGAUGGAUUAACGAGAUUCCCACGUCCCCUGUUACAUUCCAGCCCGAAAACCACAGCAAGCGAACGGGCUUGGCGGAAUCAGCGGGGAAAGAGGACCUGGUUGAGCUGACUCUAGGUCCGACUUUGUUGAAAUGAGCCCCUUGAGAGGUGUCCCUGUAGGAUAAGUGGGGGCGGAAACGGGCGAACGGUGAAAAUACCACUACUUUUAACGUCUAUUCUUAUUAUUCCGGUGAAUCGGAGCGGGGCCUCGCCCCUGCUUUUGGACCAAGGCCGGCACGGCGGACCCCGAUCCGCGGGGAAGACAAUUGUCAGGUGGGGAGUAUUGGCUGGGGCAGGGAACAUCUGUUAAAAGAUAACCAGGUUGGUCCUUAAGAUGAGCUCAAGAGAACAGAAAUCUCCGUGUGGAACAAAAGGGGUAAAAGCUCGAUUUGAUAUCUUAGAUUUCCAGUUUACGAAUACGAACCGUGAAAGCAGUGAGCCUCAUCGAUCUAUACUCUCGGAAUUUGAAGCUGAGCAGGUGUCAGAAAGUUACCACACUGGGAAUAACUGGGCUUGUGGCAGCCAACGCGUUCAUAGCGACGUUGCUUUUGAUCUUCGAUGUCGGCUCUCCCUAUCAUUGUGAAGCAGAAAUUCACCAAAGUGUUAGGAUUGUUACCCCACCAAUAGGCGAACGUGAGCUUGGGUUUAGACCGUCGUGAGACAGGUUAGUUUUACCCACUGAUGACCGCGUUCGAGCGAUGGUAUAUUCAACCUAUAUUACGAGAGGAACCAGUUUGAUUCGGCCACAAUUGGUCAUCGCGCUUGUUGAAAAGCCCAGUGGCGCGAAGCUACCGUGCGCUGCGAUUUGAGCUGAACGCUCUAAGUCAGAAUCCGCGGCCAGAAGCGACGCCGUGUCCGGCGCCGCGCUUGACCGACCCGCAGUAGGGCCCUUCCGGCCCCCAGAGGCACGUUGCCGUUGGCCAAGCCCCCCUGGCGGCGGACGAGCCGGCGCGGGCCCGCGCUUGAAGUACGCCAUAUUCCCACCGGGGUCGGGCAGAAUCCUUGCAGGACGACUUUAAAUACGCCGACGGGUAUUGUAAGUGGCAGAAAGCAUGGCCUUGCCUGCCAC